rnacentral:rRNA from 1 species
AUUGAACGCUGGCGGCAGGCCUAACACAUGCAAGUCGAGCGGAUGAAGGGAGCUUGCUCCUGGAUUCAGCGGCGGACGGGAGUGUAAUGCCUAGGAAUCUGCCUGGGAGUGGGGGAUAACGUCCGGAAACGGGCGCUAAUACCGCAUACGUCCUGAGGGAGAAAGUGGGGGAUCUUCGGACCUCACGCUAUCAGAUGAGCCUAGGUCGGAUUAGCUAGUUGGUGGGGUAAAGGCCUACCAAGGCGACGAUCCGUAACUGGUCUGAGAGGAUGAUCAGUCACACUGGAACUGAGACACGGUCCAGACUCCUACGGGAGGCAGCAGUGGGGAAUAUUGGACAAUGGGCGAAAGCCUGAUCCAGCCAUGCCGCGUGUGUGAAGAAGGUCUUCGGAUUGUAAAGCACUUUAAGUUGGGAGGAAGGGCAGUAAGUUAAUACCUUGCUGUUUUGACGGUACCGUAAGAAUAAGCACCGGCUAACUUCGUG